rnacentral:misc_RNA from 1 species
GCAUGGUUGACAGACUGCGAGAUUUCACGAGGAUGAAUCCUCUUAUAUUCACAGGGGCUAAUACUUCAGAGGAUCCUCAGGAGUUCAUAGACUAGGUGCAUAAGAUCCUGGUGUUCAUGGGGGCCACUGAAAUUGAGAAGGCUGAGCUGACUUCCUACCAGCUCAAGGAUGUUGCACAGACUUGGUGCAAGAUGUGGCAAGAUAGCCGUGUCCUAGGUGGAGUGCCAGUCACAUGGGAGCUGUUCAAGACA